rnacentral:tRNA from 1 species
GGCUUAGCUCAGUGGUAGAAUAUUUGCCUAGCAUUUGUAAAGCACUGGGUUCAAUCCCCAGUGCCA